AUUGAACGCUGGCGGCAGGCCUAACACAUGCAAGUCGAACGAGUGGCGGACGGGUGAGUAAUGUCUGGGAAACUGCCCGAUGGAGGGGGAUAACUACUGGAAACGGUAGCUAAUACCGCAUACCAUCGGAUGUGCCCAGAUGGGAUUAGCUAGUAGGUGGGGUAACGGCUAACCUAGGCGGCGAUCCCUAGCUGGUCUGAGAGGAUGACCAGGCACACUGGAAUUGUAACAAGGGACAGACCACUACGGGAGGUAGCAGUGGGGAAUAUUGCAAAAGGGGCGCAAGCCGUAUGCAGCCAAGGCGCGUGUAUGAAGAAGGCCUUCGGGUUGUAAAGUAAUUUCAGCGAGGAGGCGUUACUCGCAGAAGAAGCACCGGCUAACUCCGUGCCAGCAGCCGCGGUAAUAC
rnacentral:rRNA from 1 species